CUAUGGGUCAGCCAGCCGGGCCCUGCAUGUGCACGUGCAGACUCUAGAGAGGAUGCUGCAAAUCACCGUCUCCAGAGCUAACAGGAGCGACCCCCAGUUAUUCCAAGAUCCUGACACCCUGG